UACGGAGGGUGCAAGCGUUAUCCGGAUUUACUGGGUUUAAAGGGUGCGCAGGCGGAUAUGUAAGUCAGUGGUGAAAUCUCCGGGCUUAACCCAGAAACUGCCGUUGAUACUAUAUAUCUUGAAUGCUGUGGAGGUAAGCAGAAUAUGUCAUGUAGCGGUGAAAUGCUUAGAGAUGACAUAGAAUACCUAUUGCGAAGGCAGCUUACUACGCAGAUAUUGACGCUCAUGCACGAAAGCGUGGGGAUCAAACAGG
rnacentral:rRNA from 1 species